CCUACGGGUGGCAGCAGUGGGGAAUAUUGGACAAUGGGCGAAAGCCUGAUCCAGCCAUGCCGCGUGUGUGAAGAAGGCCUUCGGGUUGUAAAGCACUUUCAGUAGGGAAGAAAGCCUUGGGGCUAAUACCCUCGAGGAAGGACAUCACCCACAGAAGAAGCACCGGCUAACUCCGUGCCAGCAGCCGCGGUAAUACGGAGGGUGCGAGCGUUAAUCGGAAUUACUGGGCGUAAAGCGCGCGUAGGCGGUCUGAUAAGCCGGUUGUGAAAGCCCCGGGCUCAACCUGGGAACGGCAUCCGGAACUGUCAGGCUAGAGUGCAGGAGAGGAAGGUAGAAUUCCCGGUGUAGCGGUGAAAUGCGUAGAGAUCGGGAGGAAUACCAGUGGCGAAGGCGGUCUUCUGGACUGACACUGACGCUGAGGUGCGAAAGCGUGGGUAGCGAACAGGAUUAGAUACCCGGGUAGUC
rnacentral:rRNA from 1 species